rnacentral:lncRNA from 1 species
CCACAGUCCUGAGUGAUCCCAAACCAUCCCUCCCACAGUCCUGAGUGAUCCCAAACCAUCCCUCCCACAGUCCUGAGUGAUCUCAAACCAUCCUUCCCACAGUUCUCAGUGAUUCCAAAGUGUCCCAAAGCAUCCCAGACCAUCCCAAACCAUUCCCUCCCACAGUCCUGAGUGAUCCCAAAGCACCCCAAAGCGUCCCAGACCAUCCCAAACUGUCCCAAACCAUCCCAAAUCAUUCUUCCCUCAGUCCUGAGUGAUCCCCCAUGAUCCCAAACCAUCCCUCCCACUCCGAUCCCCAAUGAUCCCAACUGAUCCCUCUUACCCCAUCCCAAAUGAUCCCACUCAAUCCCUCCCAGAUCCCAAAUGAUCCUUCCCAACCACGCUUUUCCCUCAGGAAUGGAACCCCCCCCCAGAUCCCAAUGCCUUUCCCUCCCCUCAGGGUUUUUCCAGGCCAUGGACGUGGACAAGGACGGCGUCGUCACCUUCGACCUGCUGCAGUGGCUCCAGCUCACCAUGUUCGCCUGACCAGACUCUCCAAGUGCCUUCCACCACCCCGCGCCGGUUUUUUCCCUUUUUUUGGCUUUUUUCAGCAGAAAAGGCUGGAUGAGGGGGUGGGGUGGGGGUCACACAGGACCCCCACCGAGCUUUGCCGAAGCCCCCCAUCCGUCCCUCACCUCACGCUUGCCCUUUUGGGGCAAAUCCUCCGGAUUUUGGUGCCUCUUUGCUGACGGAGUCCCGGCCGUCGCCAUUCGCUUCAGGGAUCUGCUGCCCCUGGGUGCCAUAAAGUGAUUUUUUUAUUGUAUAAAUUAAAAAUGAGGUAAAAACCAAAGAAAAAAAAUGUUAUUUAAGUCAAAACUCCUUUUUCUGGCAGUUCUUUUUUCCUCUCAAGGUGGGGGAUGAGGGCAUUUCAAAGUGCUGCAAAAUAACAGGUUUAGGGGUUGCCUUGGGGUUACAGAUCAUAUAUUUGGGGUUAUAUUCAUGUGGUUUUGAGAUGUUUUGGUGCUUGUGACUUAAAAUCUGCUCGUGACUCCUGGGACGAGGCUCGGAGGGGAUGAGGGGACCCCGGACCCGGGGCAGAAUUCCUGGGGCAGGUGUGACCCUG